rnacentral:rRNA from 1 species
AUUGAACGCUGGCGGCAGGCUUAACACAUGCAAGUCGAGCGGGGGAGGUUGCUUCGGUAACUGACCUAGCGGCGGACGGGUGAGUAAUGCUUAGGAAUCUGCCUAUUAGUGGGGGACAACAUUCCGAAAGGAAUGCUAAUACCGCAUACGCCCUACAGGGGAAAGCAGGGGAUCUUCGGACCUUGCGCUAAUAGAUGAGCCUAAGUCGGAUUAGCUAGUUGGUGGGGUAAAGGCCUACCAAGGCGACGAUCUGUAGCGGGUCUGAGAGGAUGAUCCGCCACACUGGGACUGAGACACGGCCCAGACUCCUACGGGAGGCAGCAGUGGGGAAUAUUGGACAAUGGGCGGAAGCCUGAUCCAGCCAUGCCGCGUGUGUGAAGAAGGCCUUUUGGUUGUAAAGCACUUUAAGCGAGGAGGAGGCUCUUAAGGUUAAUACCCUUGAUGAGUGGACGUUACUCGCAGAAUAAGCACCGGCUAACUCUGUGCCAGCAGCCGCGGUAACAC